rnacentral:rRNA from 1 species
GGAAGUCUGACCGAGCAACGCCGCGUGAGUGAGGAAGGUUUCGGAUCGUAAAGCUCUGUUGUAAGAGAAGAACGAGUGUGAGAGUGGAAAGUUCACACUGUGACGGUAUCUUACCAGAAAGGGACGGCUAACUACGUGCCAGCAGCCGCGGUAAUACGUAGGUCCCGAGCGUUGUCCGGAUUUAUUGGGCGUAAAGCGAGCGCAGGCGGUUAGAUAAGUCUGAAGUUAAAGGCUGUGGCUUAACCAUAGUACGCUUUGGAAACUGUUUAACUUGAGUGCAAGAGGGGAGAGUGGAAUUCCAUGUGUAGCGGUGAAAUGCGUAGAUAUAUGGAGGAACACCGGUGGCGAAAGCGGCUCUCUGGCUUGUAACUGACGCUGAGGCUCGAAAGCGUGGGGAGCAAACAGGAUUAGAUACCCUGGUAGUCCACGCCGUAAACGAUGAGUGCUAGGUGUUAGACCCUUUCCGGGGUUUAGUGCCGCAGCUAACGCAUUAGGCACUCCGCCUGGGGAGUACGAC